rnacentral:rRNA from 1 species
AGUACCCGCGGUAAUUCCAGCUCCAAUAGCGUAUAUUAAAGUUGUUGCAGUUAAAAAGCUCGUAGUUGAAUUUCGGGGUCGGUAGAUUGGUCGUGCCUCUGGUAUGCACUGGUCUUACUGGCUCCCCCUUCCUGAUGAACCGUAAUGCCAUUAAUUUGGUGUUGCGGGGAGACUGGACUGUUACUUUGAAAAAAUUAGAGUGUUUAAAGCAGGCUAAUGCUUGAAUACAUUAGCAUGGAAUAAUGAAAUAGGACGUUCGAUCUUAUUUUGUUGGUUUCUAAGAUUGACGUAAUGAUUAAUAGGGAUAGUUGGGGGCAUUAGUAUUCAAUUGUCAGAGGUAAAAUUCCUGGAUUUAU